AGAGUUUGAUCCUGGCUCAGAUUGAACGCUGGCGGCAUGCCUAACACAUGCAAGUCGAACGGUAACGACGGGAGCUUGCUCCCGGGCGACGAGUGGCGGACGGGUGAGUAAUACUUAGGAAUCUGCCCAGUAGUGGGGGACAACUCGAGGAAACUCGAGCUAAUACCGCAUACGCCCUACGGGGGAAAGCGGAGGAUCUUUCGGGACUUCGCGCUAUUGGAUGAGCCUAAGUCGGAUUAGCUUGUUGGUGGGGUAAAGGCCUACCAAGGCAACGAUCUGUAGCUGGUCUGAGAGGACGAUCAGCCACACUGGGACUGAGACACGGCCCAGACUCCUACGGGAGGCAGCAGUGGGGAAUAUUGGACAAUGGGGGCAACCCUGAUCCAGCAAUGCCGCGUGUGUGAAGAAGGCCUGCGGGUUGUAAAGCACUUUCAGUAGAGAAGAAAUGCCCAUGGUUAAUACCCGUGGGUCUUGACGUAACCUACAGAAGAAGCACCGGCUAACUCCGUGCCAGCAGCCGCGGUAAUACGGAGGGUGCGAGCGUUAAUCGGAAUUACUGGGCGUAAAGCGCGCGUAGGCGGUUUGGUCAGUCGGAUGUGAAAGCCCUAGGCUCAACCUGGGAAUGGCAUUCGAUACUGCCUGACUAGAGUAUGGUAGAGGGAAGUGGAAUUUCCGGUGUAGCGGUGAAAUGCGUAGAUA
rnacentral:rRNA from 1 species